ensembl:lncRNA
GGCUCACCAGCAUACUGAGCAGGAGGUGGAAGACAAGGCUCAACGUGAUGUUCCAAAGGCGCUGCAGAAGGGGAAACAGACGGCAGGGUAGGCACAGUGGGCGCUCCGUUGAUGUCUGUUCUUAAACGUUAGAGCUGGGCAGUAACCUCCGACACCUGUGCCACCAGGACUUGCAGCGCCCGACCCGUAGCCAUUUGUGGUCAAAUUGUUAUGUCAGGACAGAUAACUCGAUGUUAGAUGUUAGGUGAUGUUAGAAGUUUUUAAUCAAUUGUUGCCCAAUCAGCUCACCCUGAUCACACAUGACAAGAUAAAAGUGCUAUAUUAAGUCAGUAUCCCUGUGGAUUUUAAAUGCUUUAAAUCUUUUCCAUUUGCAAGUAAUAUAUUCCCACCUGUGCAUUUACAGAUCCCCCUCUAAUCAUAAUUUUUUUUUACAGGUAACAAACCAGAAGAAGAAGGUGACGACAGUAGCUUUUCUGUGCCAGCAGUGGUCAAUACAGGAACAUCCUUCAUGAAGAUGUGUGAGAGAAGCUUGCAAGGCAAGAUGAGGGGAAAAAAGAAAUCUGAUGGAACAACUCCGAGUAUUUUACUACAAUGUUGCCUGGAUGAUUGAGGAUUUUUUUUUCAGACUUUCCUGUCUCUUUGGAACAUUUCUGUUCACACAUACUAUGGAGAAAUAGUGUGCAGCUUCAUAACUUUUGAAGUUUACUGCUGAUGGAAAGUUUCUGGGACUGGCACUGACAAAAGCACUUCCCAGCAAGUUUAUUUGGAGUUCUUUUUUAAAUUAUAAUGAAUUUAUUUAUUUAUUUAGACAACCUUGCAUUCACUAAUGCUGGAGUAAGCUUCUUUCAGUUGAAAAAGCUCAAAAUUACAUUAAAUUCUAAUAAUUACAUAAUUACAUUUUAAGCCCAAUCCCAAUUCUACCUCUUAGCCCCUCCCCUUUCUCGAUAUGAUGUUUUAUUAACAAGGUUUGGGAGGAGUGCUUCAGAUACUUAGCCUAAUCAAACACCGGUGGAGCACAAUCAAUUUAAUCAACACCAUAGUAUAAAUACAGCUGACUUACCUCUAUCCAUUGAUGGUUUAUCAGCAUCCAGCAUCCUGGUUCCCUCGUUCCAACCAUGUCAGAAAAACAAACCUCCUUAUCUGAAGGCGAAUCCUUCUACCCAGUCCCAUCGCUGCAACCAGCAGGCUCUAAGACUACCUGCAGUUCGGGCACCUGCAGUUCGGGGCCAACAGCCCAAGGAAGUGCUUGGCCGCAAUGGCCGCCCAACACAGGCCC